UGUACUGGUUAACUAAUGCUCUAGGAUAAGGGAAGUUACACCACAGACUGUUCCAGGGUUUUCUCAUUAAUUGAUGGAAUAGUACGCUAGCCCUUUAAGAAACGCGAUGUGUGACAUUCUGGAAGAAUCGCGAGAUUCUGCUGUGUACAGCGCGCGGUCACAACGUGAUUUGAAGUGCGGCUCAUGCGGUGGAGUGCUGAGGCCAUUAGACGCAGAUGUUACUGUUAAAAUAACAAAAAAGCACAUAUAGUAACUUGGAAGUCUCUCUUAGUGUGUUGUGAGGAUUGUGUGUUGUGCUGAGGGAACUUUGAAAUUCUGUCGACUCGAGAUGCAUACCUAUGUGGAGAAAUCCGAUCGACAAUAAAUCUCGAAGCAGGGGAGAGGAGUAUUCUUAAGGCCUCCUGAGUGUUUCCAGGCCGAGUGUGAAGCAACAGAAAGGAGAAUUGAGUUCAGCAUUCAAUGUGACAGUGUGUACAUGCUAUAAAGUGUGUUGAUGAACAGUAAGUUUAAUUUGAUUAUUAUAAUAAGAGUCAUUUAAUUAUUUCUUUGUGGAAUAUUAGAAUGUUAAUUCAGAGUGAUUUAUAUUUAGUGGAUGUUAGCCAUUGUAAUGAUUAGAAUGUAUUAAUGUUACUGGGAAAUGUAACUUCAUUUUUAUAUUUUUCAUGCAUCUUUUAUGUAAGAUAAGCAGCUUUAUUUGGUAUUCUGUGUUGACAAAUCUUGUAACAAUCUGUGUAUGUGUUUUUCAGAAUACGAGUCCACUAUCGUUGUCUAUGUUAAUUAGAUUCCAGUAGUUUAUUUGUUAAUGUGGUGACUGAGAACAGAAAGACAAGAGAGACUAGAGUUGAUAACAAAAUAUCUUUAUUGAUUCCAACCAAUGUAACAAGCUUUCUUGUCUAGUAUCACAUAUUUGCAUAGUUAACGCUGCGCUGUUUCAAGUGCAGUCUGGAAUAAACGAUCCCACAGAUAAUUUAAAUCCCUGUGUCUAGUGUUGUCACUAAUAUUCACACCGGGCCACAGAGAAUUUUGGUACCAGGAGUGGGGUUCCAUUGCUAGUGUAGAUAGGAUAGCACUAAAACAUAGACAACGGUAGUGGGAGAAACUGGUCGUGUGCUGACGCCUGGGAGUUCGACGGUGUGGAGUGUGACGUGCCUGGAGGGUCUGCGGAGAAGCAAGGGACCAGCUUUGGGAACGCAGACGGGUGCCUAAUCGUCGACAACGAAUUGGCCUUUCAGGUUGGCUGGCAUUGACUGUGACUGUUUCUGACUCAGAGCCAUUAGAAAUAGGGACAUUGCAAGAGCAUGGACCAGGACGACGAUGUGCCAGCUGCUCGGGCUGGAGCCAGCCGGGACGUGGACCAUGCUGGGGCUGCGGGUCAUGAGGAUGAGGGUAAUCCUGUAGCAGAACUGAAGUCACAAAUUCUGGAGUUAGGUCGAAGACACGACCAAGUAAUGUCAACCCUGGCUAAUAUGAAUAAUGCUACUAGGUCGUAUGUUUAUAUUC